rnacentral:lncRNA from 1 species
UUGGAGAUAAGGUAAAGUUACAAAAUAAUGAAAUUAUAUCUGCUAUCAGUUGUAGAUUUUUAGUUUCAGGAAAGUAUGUUGCGUUGCAAAUUUGUGAUGACGAAGAUGUUGAAACUAUGAUCAAAAGUUUUCACCAACAAGAUCAAAUGUAAGUUCUGAAAUUGUAUAUAGAAAAGGAUGUGGCUGGUGGUUCUAUGUUUCAUUCUGCAAAUUCUCUUACAUCAUGUGGAAAUAAUUUAUCU